rnacentral:rRNA from 1 species
AUUGAACGCUGGCGGCAGGCCUAACACAUGCAAGUCGAACGAGUGGCGGACGGGUGAGUAAUGUCGGGGAACCUGCCUGAUGGAGGGGGAUAAGGACGGGAAAAGGUAGCUACUGCCGCAUACCAUCAGAUGUGCCCAGGUGGGAUUAGCUUGUUGGUGGGGUAACGGCUCACCAAGGCGACGAUCCCUAGCUGGCCUGAGAGGGUGACCAGCCACACGGGGACUGAGACACGGCCCAGACUCCUACGGGAGGCAGCAGUAGGGAAUCUUGGGCAAUGGGCGCAAGCCUGACCCAGCCAUGCCGCGUGAGUGAAGAAGGUUUUCGGAUUGUAAAGUACUGUUGGUGGGGAAGCGUUACCCGCAGAAGAAGCACCGGCUAACUCCGUGCCAGCAGCCGCGGUAAUUC